rnacentral:rRNA from 1 species
UACGUAGGGUCCGAGCGUUGUCCGGAAUUAUUGGGCGUAAAGGGCUCGUAGGCGGUUUGUCGCGUCGGGAGUGAAAACCAGGUGCUUAACACCUGGCCUGCUUUCGAUACGGGCAGACUAGAGGCAUUCAGGGGAGAACGGAAUUCCUGGUGUAGCGGUGAAAUGCGCAGAUAUCAGGAGGAACACCUGUGGUGUAGACAGCUUACUGGACCAUUUCUGACGCUGAGACACGAAAGCGUGGGUAGCAAACAGG